UGGGGAAUAUUGCACAAUGGGCGCAAGCCUGAUGCAGCCAUGCCGCGUGUGUGAAGAAGGCCUUCGGGUUGUAAAGCACUUUCAGCGAGGAGGAAGGUGGUGAGCUUAAUACGCUCAUCAAUUGACGUUACUCGCAGAAGAAGCACCGGCUAACUCCGUGCCAGCAGCCGCGGUAAUACGGAGGGUGCAAGCGUUAAUCGGAAUUACUGGGCGUAAAGCGCACGCAGGCGGUUUGUUAAGUCAGNUGUGAAAUCCCCGGGCUCAACCUGGGAACUGCAUUUGAAACUGGCAAGCUAGAGUCUCGUAGAGGGGGGUAGAAUUCCAGGUGUAGCGGUGAAAUGCGUAGAGAUCUGGAGGAAUACCGGUGGCGAAGGCGGCCCCCCUGGACGAAGACUGACGCUCAGGUGCGAAAGCGUGGGGCAGCAAACAGGAUUAGAUACCCUGGUAGUCCAGCGCUGUAAACGAUGUCGAUUUGGAGGUUGUGCCCCUUGAGGCGUGGCUUCCGGAGCUAACGCGUUAAAUCGACCGCC
rnacentral:rRNA from 1 species